UGUCCAUCUGGUAUCGUAGGUCUAUAGUGUUUGUCUCCCUGUCCAUCUGGUAUCGUAGGUCUAUAGUGUUUGGCUCCCUGUCCAUCUGGUAUCGUAGGUCUAUAGUGUUUGGCUCCCUGUCCAGCUGGUAUCGUAGGUCUAUAGUGUUUGGCUCCCUGUCCAUCUGGUAUCGUAGGUCUAUAGUUUUUGGCUCCCUGUCCAUCUGGUAUCGUAGGUCUAUAGUUUUUGGCUCCCUGUCCAGCUGGUAUCGUAGGUCUAUAGUUUUUGGCUCCCUGUCCAUCUGGUAUCGUAGGUCUAUAGUUUUUGGCUCCCUGUCCAGCUGGUAUCGUAGGUCUAUAGUUUUUGGCUCCCUGUCCAGCUGGUAUCGUAGGUCUAUAGUGUUUGUCUCCCUGUCCAUCUGGUAUCGUAGGUCUAUAGAGUUUGUCUCCCUGUCCAUCUGGUAUCAUAGGUCUAUAGUGUUUGUCUCCCUGUCCAUCUGGUAUCAUAGGUCUAUAGUUUUUGUCUCCCUGUCCAUCUGGUAUCGUAGGUCUAUAGAGUUUGUCUCCCUGUCCAUCUGGUAUCGUAGGUCUGUAGUGUUUGUCUCCCUGUCCAUCUGGUAUCGUAGGUCUAUAGUGUUUGGCUCCCUGUCCAUCUGGUAUCGUAGGUCUAUAGUGUUUGGCUCCCUGCCCAUCUGGUAUCAUAGGUCUAUAGUUUUUGGCCCUCUGUCCAGCUGGUAUCGUAGGUCUAUAGUGUUUGUCUCCCUGUCCAGCUGGUAUUGUAGGUCUAUAGAGUUUGGCUCCCUGUCCAUCUGGUAUCGUAGGUCUAUAGUGUUUGUCUCCCUGUCCAGCUGGUAUUGUAGGUCUAUAGAGUUUGGCUCCCUGUCCAUCUGGUAUCGUAGGUCUAUAGUGUUUGGCUCCCUGUCCAUCUGGUAUCGUAGGUCUAUAGUGUUUGGCUCCCUGUCCAUCUGGUAUCGUAGGUCUGUAGUGUUUGGCUCCCUGUCCAUCUGGUAUCGUAG
rnacentral:lncRNA from 1 species